GAGCAAGUCUCGCAGCCAUCUCAGUAUGAAUGGUGGAGCUGCAGAGGACAAGUCCGGCGCAACAACCAGAGAAAGUUAGUGAGGAGAGUCAGGGCAGAGUUUGGAAGCGCGCACAUGGCUCGCUGCUGUUUUCAGGAUGACUUUUAGCUCGCAGUGCAAAAGUUUGAAAGUGAAAGAGAGAGUGUCAGGUCAAAAUGGUGCAGAUGCGCGCCUCGCAAACGUUGGCUGAGUUUAAAAAGAGAAAGAGAAGACGUGCAAAGUGUGCGCCUGGCUGCCAGUGAUGCGGGUUUUCAGUGAAGACUUUCUGAUGAAGAAGAGGAUGAAGACUGACAAACUGGGUUAAGACACAGGAUUGAGAAACAGUUUUACCACAGGACUAUCAGCUCAGUUUCCACCACAUUCACCCAUCCUGACGAGCAGUGGGGAAACCACCUCAGCAGAGCUCAUCUGUUGAGAUGUUGCUGAGUCAGUUUGGGGUCAUGACAUCAUCAUCAUGAGAUGGGGACGCUGGUGGACGGUGACCGCAGGCAGCGACAGAAGAGGUGGUGCUGUGUGUUGCGGUUUGCAGCUGCUGGAUCUUGGCACCAAAAAAAAAAAAGUGCUGUGGAGCUGCCUCGGGGAAUAAUUUGCUCAAAUGUUGAAAGGAAGAACAAAUUCAAGAGGUUUGAAGGGGCAGUAAGUAAGAUUUUUAUUGUUGCAUUGCAUCAAAUGACCAUGAAACACCUGCAGGAUGCCGGUAAUUGUCCAGGUGUUGAGGUUUUGUGGCUUUCCGAACUGUCUUUCCGGCUUGUGGGUUGUUUUGGAGCAAAAUCUCCACACCCAGUGAAGUAAUGCUGAUGCUGUUCAAAUCCUGACUGAUGGUGACCACAGCUAGUAACACACAAGUAAAGGACUACUUAGCCUCUAGAGUCUGUGUAUUCAUCAGUGAUUAUGCUGAGUAUGUUUUAUUUACAGAAAUGUAACUUUAUCUUUAGAGAAAAGCUGAGGAAACCAGUUGAAAAUACUCAUGUGGGGCUUUCAUACAAUAUCUCAUUUAUCUCUGUAGCACAUAAAUUUUUUUAAAGGCACUCAGUCUUACUGUGAAAAAGGCACUGAUGGGUAGAGUUGGGAUAAUCAUUUUAUAUAUAAAUAGACUAUAUUAUAGUUAUUUUUAUUUUGUACAUUUCUUAUAGUAUUUGUAAGUACACACAGAUAUAUAUUUAAUUUAUCUGAAAAAAAAAAAAACCCUGCGGCUCAAGUGAAACAAUUAUUUUGACAGCUAAUCUGAAUGUAUAACAGAUGAUUUCCUAAUUUAACAUUACAUUUUUGAUAACCAUCAUGAAACAGAAUUUUUGAAGCAUCCAGUGAACUGAAUGAAUUUGUUCUUCCUCUCUAUGGGUUGUAACUAAUGCACCUUGUCUUACUCUAAUUUAUUGAAAUGAUGAAAUUAAUAAAUCAACUUAAACAUGAA